UGGGGCAAGUAUGGACACAACAUUCAAGCUGGAUACAGCUCUUAAUUUGGAUUGUGAUUAAAUAGUUGACACAGCAUAGGUUUCUGACACAGAACGUAUGUGGUCUAAUGAACUUAAAAAUUUUUUUUUGCCUUUGAGCAAUUCACUAUGCUGUUGAAUAUUAAUCCUCUCAAAAAAAUGUUUGAAGAAAUUUUCUUUUUAUUUAUGAAAUCUGAAAUGAG
rnacentral:lncRNA from 1 species